GACGAACGCUGGCGGCGUGCUUAACACAUGCAAGUCGAACGGAAAGGCCCUGCUUUUGUGGGGUGCUCGAGUGGCGAACGGGUGAGUAACACGUGAGUAACCUGCCCUUGACUUUGGGAUAACUUCAGGAAACUGGGGCUAAUACCGGAUAGGAGCUCCUGCUGCAUGGUGGGGGUUGGAAAGUUUCGGCGGUUGGGGAGGGACUCGCGGCUUAUCAGCUUGUUGGUGGGGUAGUGGCUUACCAAGGCUUUGACGGGUAGCCGGCCUGAGAGGGUGACCGGCCACAUUGGGACUGAGACACGGCCCAGACUCCGACGGGAGGCAGCAGUGGGGAAUAUUGCACAAUGGGCGGAAGCCUGAUGCAGCAGCGCCGCGUGCGGGAUGACGGCCUUCGGGUUGUAAACCGCUUUCGCCUGUGACGAAGCGUGAGUGACGGUAAUGGGUAAAGAAGCACCGGCUAACUACGUG
rnacentral:rRNA from 1 species